GGAGUCAUAGGUCCCAAUCAGCAACUCUAUGUAGAAGUUUGUUAUGGUCUGACAGAUCAUAUGAAAUAAUCUGGAAGGAUAUAGGGAACAUUUCACAAGAGUUCAUCAUCCUCUCUCUACAGACAAGAACACUGAGGCUCUGAGAUGGGCAGGACCUUGCACAGCAUUAGGAAGAUGCUCAUGGAAACAAUGGCUGAUUCAAUUCAUAUUUGAAGACAUUUCUAAAGUCACAGAAUAA
rnacentral:lncRNA from 1 species